GAGCCUGGCUGAGCAAGGAAGAGGACCCAGGACUGCAGCUGCUUUGAGCCCUGGCCAGAGCCUCCAAUCAACCUUUGGUUCUGAUAAAGACAAGAAACCCAAGUACAACCUGUAGAGCCAGAGGUGGGGGCCAGGAAGCCCUGUUCUAGUCUCUCUGCACAACCUUGAGCCAUCUCAUCAUCUGCACAUCUGCCUGAACCUCAGUCUCCCACUCUGGACGUUGUCGGGGUGAUGGAGCAAGCAUUCAGUUAUUCUCUGCUGGAUUCUGAUGUGGUCUAAAGUCCACACUUUGUUGUGAAACACCGCAAUCUGUGAUGUACAGAACCUAUUACUGCGGCCACCCAGGAAUGCUGGGGGCAGGCCUUUUGAGAAGGUGAAUCAGCGUGUGUUAGCUCAGGGCAGAGGGCCUGGCGGUGAGACGUGAGAACAGCCAAUGUCAUGGCGGUGGGGGAGUGGACGUGAGCCAUCUGGGGCCCAGCAAACAGCAUGUUGAAAAAAACGAGGAACUCAAAGGCAGAUGAGCCUACCACGCUGGGAACAGUUGGGAGUACAUUGCUCAAG
rnacentral:lncRNA from 7 species